rnacentral:rRNA from 1 species
UAUAGUUUCCAUGUCAGUUGUUAAUUACCUGGAUAUCCAUGGUAAUUCUAGAGCUAAUACAUGCGUCCAAACCCGACUUUUCGGAAGGGUUGUGCUUAUUAGACACUGAACCAACCCGGGUUUCCCGGUUUCGAGUUGAUUGAUGGUAAUCGAACGAAUCGCAUGCUUCGGCGGCGAUGAUUCAUUCAAGUUUCUGACCUAUCAGCUUUCGACGGUAGGGUAUUGGCCUACCGUGGCAUUGACGGGUAACGGAGAAUUAGGGUUUGAUUCCGGAGAGGGAGCCUGAGAAACGGCUACCACA